rnacentral:rRNA from 1 species
GAGUUUGAUCCUGGCUCAGAACGAACGCUGGCGGCGUGCUUAACACAUGCAAGUCGAACGUGAUUGAGAGCUUGCUCUCAUGAAAGUGGCGCACGGGUGAGUAACACGUGGAUAAUCUGCCUGGCGAUUCGGGAUAACACUUCGAAAGGGGUGCUAAUACCGGAUAAGCCCACGGUCUCUUCGGAGAGUGCGGGAAAAGGGGGCCUCUGUAUAUGCUCCUGUCGCUAGAUGAGUCCGCGGCCCAUUAGCUAGUUGGUAGGGUAAUGGCCUACCAAGGCUACGAUGGGUAGCUGGUCUGAGAGGAUGAUCAGCCACACUGGAACUGAGACACGGUCCAGACUCCUACGGGAGGCAGCAGUGGGGAAUUUUGCGCAWUGGGCGAAAGCCUGACGCAKCAACGCCGCGUGAGUGAUGAAGGCCUUCGGGUCGUWAAGCUCUGUCAGAGGGGAAGAACCGCCGGGUGGCUAAUACCUGCCUGGUCUGACGGUACCCUCAAAGGAAGCACCGGYUAACUCCGKGCCAGCAGCYGCGGUAAUACAAGGKCGAAUUCC